rnacentral:rRNA from 1 species
GAUGAACGCUGGCGGCGUGCUUAACACAUGCAAGUCGAACGAAGCACUUUAUUUGAUUUCCUUCGGGACUGAUUAUUUUGUGACUGAGUGGCGGACGGGUGAGUAACGCGUGGGUAACCUGCCUUGUACAGGGGGAUAACAGUUGGAAAUGGCUGCUAAUACCGCAUAAGCGCACGGCAUCGCAUGAUGCAGCGUGAAAAACUCCGGUGGUAUAAGAUGGACCCGCGUUGGAUUAGCUAGUUGGUGAGGUAACGGCCCACCAAGGCGACGAUCCAUAGCCGACCUGAGAGGGUGACCGGCCACAUUGGGACUGAGACACGGCCCAAACUCCUACGGGAGGCAGCAGUGGGGAAUAUUGCACAAUGGGCGAAAGCCUGAUGCAGCGACGCCGCGUGAGCGAAGAAGUAUUUCGGUAUGUAAAGCUCUAUCAGCAGGGAAGAUAAUGACGGUACCUGACUAAGAAGCACCGGCUAA